rnacentral:rRNA from 1 species
AUGACAUCCUCGGGAGCUCCACACCUCCAUCCUCCAUGGCGCCUGUUUGCUGACGAAGAUGACAGGCGUUGUCCUGGCGAGCUCUGUAUCGCCAUCCUUCAUGACAUGGCAGCGGCAUCCUCGCGAGAUCCACGCCUCAUCCACCAUGGCACCGGUUUGAUGAAGAAGAUGAUGGGCAUCGUCCUAGUGAGCUCCGUGUCGCCGUCCACUGCGGCAUGGCAUCUACAUCCUCGCGAGCUCCACUCCUCCGUCCGCCAUGGCAUCAGCUUGAUGAAGAAGAAGACGGGCGUCGUCUUAGCGAUCUCCACAUUGCCAUUCUCCGUGGCACGCGACGACAUCCUCGCGAGCUCUGCUCCUCCGUCCUCCGUGGCACCGGCUUGA